AAAUGUAACAAGCAUUGGACCCGAAAUGAGGGAGCCCAGCUGGGGUCUUUGGGUGAAAAGUGUCCUCAACCUCUUCAAAAGCAGAGGUGCAAAUGGUCCCCAGGCAGCGAGGCAGGCAAGGCUUCUAGGUGAAGCCCCCGGCCCCCAGAGAGGGGAACCUCUUCCUGUGAUGGGUACACCGGGAUGUUUAACCACUGGUUUUCUGGGAACGAGAUGCAAACCCUGGCUCAGCAUAGGGCCAAAGACGCUGACAAGAGGAUUUCUCACUGUGAGAGAAGUGAGCCACCAGAUAGAGAGGACACUCAAACAGCCCCAUGCAGAGGCCAAUAUAGAAAGGAUAAAAUAGCCAGCAUCAACUUACCGGCUUUGUAAGAGAGCCUUUAUAACUGAAUCCACUGCCCCGGUCAAGCCUUCAGAUGACUGCAGCUCUAGCCUACAUCUGGCUGCAAUCUCAGGUGUUCAGAUCAAGGGAAACUACUCUAAGAGGCUACACUUGAGGAACAACAACCAAGGAGCUUCAACUGCAUCUGGAUUUCAGGAGUCUGGAAAACUUUUCUUUUGAGCUAUUGACAGCCUUUAACAACUGAGUAAAGUGUACUCCUGUGAACAAAAUUCAGAGCCUGUUUGUUUCUCUCUACCUGAUUUCUCCAGAAUUUGGAAACUAUUUGUGAGUAUUCUUAACUUAUGGAAACAUAGUUAUUUGCAUAAGUGCAAUAAGAAUCUGUUUUCAUUUGUAACAGGACACAAUUGGAAAAACUGGUUAUUUUACCAAGGCUUUUACUGGAAUGGUGUGCUUUCUUUUAAGGAAUCAAACUUGACUUAUAGAGCCAAUAAAAGCCCCUUGGAAACACUGGCCUUAUACAUUGUCUACACAGUCUCUGUGUAGGGUUCCUAACCUGUGAGUAAAGAAUGUCACUUUUUAACAGUCCCAGGAGCCCCCAAGUUAUCUUGGGACCUGAAUAGGAAAGGAAUUUACCCAAUAAUAGAUAUUUGAGUGUACAAACCCAUGGCUGGGCUCAGCUUCAGAAAAAAGUCUUAUCUGAGAUUCCUUAUAGAACAGAGUUCCAUCAAAGCCAAUUUAAAAAGCCUAUGUGAAAAAUAAUUAUUCUUGCUGCACUUUGUAUGAAUAAUCAGGCCAAGUAUAAUAAAGUAAAUCAGUCUUACAGUGAUUUGUCUUUAGUAAAAAUGGGAAACUGGAGAGAGAAAAAAAUUGUUUCAAGAACUAUGGUACAACUGUUACUAGAUUCUAGUCUCAUUCACUGUUUUUGAAUUUUUUUCUGCAAUUUAGACUGACUCUUCUUAUUUCUGUUAACCAACCAGUGAUCUCUGGCUGCUGCUCAGAAGAACUAAGAAGGAUGGGUAAUAUAAAAUCCAGAUCAAUAUUCUUAUUCUGGGCACAUAUUGGAAUCAGCUAACAACCCCAUAUCAGUUUGGUUCCAACAAUUGCCCAGUUCAUGGAAAGCCUCUAAUUUUGUUUAUUUGGGAUGAUUUUGCUUAUUUUGCUUUACUAUUGUGGAAUAUAUUGCUGUUGUACUCUUUGUGUAGGAAUGCAGGAUAUGCUUGCUGAAUGUUUUCUUAAAUUGAACCCUUAUUCCUCUUCCAGGUACCAUCUUUUGUUGGAACUCAGUUACAAAUAACCCUCACCAUACCAGCACUUUCUGAAUGAGCUCCUCUCUACCCUGAAGGCAAAAGACCCAAUAGUUAGGCUGGAAUAUUAUCACCCCUAUUCAGCCUGAAGAAGUUACAGAAAAUGGAUCUUCAUCUGUCUACAACCCUUAGGAUUAAGUGUUCUCUUAUAAUAGGGAGGGGGGAAUUGUCAGAGGCAUUUGAAUCAAAGCAACUCCAUUUCACACAGGGGCUAAGUGAAAUAAGGCUAAGACCUACUAGGCUGCAUUCCCAGGAGGUUAAGACAUUCUAAGUCACAGGAUGAGACAGGAGAGCGGCAUAAGAUGCAGGUCAGAAAGAUCUUGUGGAUAAAACAGGUUGCAGUAAAGAAGCCAGCCAAAACAUCAAAACCAAGAUGGCGACAAAAGUGACUUCUGGUCGUCUGCACUGCUACAUUCCCGCCAGCACCACGGCAGUUUACAAAUGCCAUGGCAAUGUCAGGAGGUUGCCCUACAUGUUCUAAAAUGGGGAGGAACCCUCAGUUCCAGGAAUUGCCCACCCCUUUCCUGGAAAACUCAUGAAUAAUCCACCCUUUGUUUAGCAUAUAAACAAGAAAUAACCAUAAAAAUGGGCAACUAGGUGUGCACCACUGCUCUUCUUAUGGAGUAGCCAUUCUUUCAUUCCUUUACUUUCAUAAUAAACUUGCUUUCACUUAAAAAAAAACUUGACCCUUACCUUAUGCCAUGUAUAAAAAUUAACUCACAAUGAAUCAGGAGGUAUUCCUUUUUCCUGACUGCCUUUGAACUGGGACAUCAUUUUUUUCCCUGUCUUCAGACUUGAACUGAAACAUCAGCUUUUCUUGAGUCUCAACCUGCUGUUCUUUGGACUAGAACUGCACCAUUGGCUCUCUUGGGUUUCCAGCUUAACAACUGUAGAUCUUGGAACUUGGCAGCUUUCAUAAAUACAUGAGUUAAUUUCUUAAAAUAAAUAUAUUCAUAUGUAUGUAUAUAAAAUAC
rnacentral:lncRNA from 10 species